CUUUGGGCCAGGUGUCCCAGCCAGGCUCCCUCUAAGCUGCUUGUGCCCCUUCUUCCUGGCAAAACAUGGGAAACUGAAAAGUCCUUGACUUAAGGUCUCCUUCAGGAAAAAAAGUAAUUAGUGAAUCUGCAUUCCAUAAGUAGCCCCAUAGAUUUUACUGAUAUCAACCCAGGUUGCAAAUUUUCACUCCUCCAAGAAGAAGAGUUGUUUGAUCUCCAUCUGGAAGCAUCCCUUGAACCCGUGUGUCCUAAGGACUGUGAAGAGACCUCGUGUUAACCGCAGCUUUGAAAUAGAUUUGCCUGGCCUAUCUUCUCUGCAAAAUUCUCCAAUUAGGAAUAAAGGCCACGAUCUUUCAGAUUAAACCUGCUACAGCCAGGCUCUUCCCAGGGCUGCAGAGUGGAUAUGUGCAGGUAUGAUCAUU